rnacentral:piRNA from 1 species
CUAUGUAGACCAGGCUGGC